UCCUUUGGCUCUGGACAAACCGCCCACCCCCAUUUUUUAUUUAUUUUUUGUCACCACGAACGACUCCCUGGUGAGGUGUUCCGGGCACGUCCCACCAGGAGGAGACCCCGGGAACAACCCAGGACACGCUGGAGAGACUACAUCCUUCGGCUGGCCUGGGAACGCCUCGGGAUUCCCCCGGAAGAGCUGGAUGAAGUGGCUGGGGAGAGGGAAGUCUGGGCGUCCCUGCUAAAGCUACUGCCCCCGCGACCCGACCUCGGAUAAGCGGUCAUGGAACAGGCCUGUAAUGACAUAGGUGUGGAGGUAUGCCAAGUAUGGAUCCGACAUACCAGGAGUUAUUUGCCACGUUUCCUAGCCAGGGAGAAUGUGGCCUGUGCUGUGGAUGAAAUCCUGUGGCCUGACCCAGCAGGCCGAGCUGAUGCUGUAGAUGAAUAAUUAUAGUAGAUACUGAAUGCACUUUUGUAGUUGUGAUUCUUGUCUGUUUUUUUUCACUAGUGCUGUACAGGGUUUUUGUGGUUUUUUUUGUAAAACACAAUCCUAUCGUUAUCCUACUAAGAUUAUUCCUGUCGCUUUAUGAUCUGAUCAGUGUGUUUUCUUUUUUUCUAUGUUGUGUGUUGUGUUGUCUGUUCAGUGGGGUUUUUCAUUUUGAAUGACUUUUGUGGAAAUAGUUUGGUUUCGCAAGAAGAGUCAGGUAUUGGUGAAUUUAGCUUGAAUUUUUGGAUUUGUGUUUAAGGUAUUGAGGAAAUGGGUGGAGGUUUCAAGCAAUGUGUUUUAACAAUUGAGAAAAAUUGUAAAAAAAAAAAAUAAAUCAAUCAGAGGAUGAACAUCAAAUAAAUGAUAUGCCAACAGAGUCGGUAUACGUUGGAAUACUUAUGUGCGAAAAUAAAAAUGAUGUAAAAAAAACAA